rnacentral:tRNA from 1 species
AGCAGGGUAGAGCAGUCUGGUAGCUCGUGGGGCUCAUAACCCCAAGGUCGCAGGUUCGAAUCCUGCCUCUGCAA